UGCAGCAAAAACCUCUCUCCAAGCGCAAGUGUGCUGCCUGCAAGAUUGUAGUCCACACACCCUGCAUAGAACAGCUAGAGAAAAUAAAUUUCCGAUGCAAGCCUUCCUUCAGGGAAUCUGGAUCAAGAAAUGUCCGUGAGCCUACAGUCGUGCGGCAUCAUUGGGUACACCGGAGACGUCAGGAAGGGAAAUGUCGACAGUGUGGAAAGGGUUUCCAGCAAAAAAUUCGCCUUU